CGAGCGAGUGCCGCCGAGGCGGUGGCCUGAGAUUCUUCUGAAAUUCUUUCUUUGGUGAGGAUCAUCAGAAGGAAGCACAGGAUUUGCUCUCAAAGAGUGG